rnacentral:rRNA from 1 species
CAGUAGCCGCGGUAAUACGGAGGGUGCAAGCGUUAAUCGGAAUUACUGGGCGUAAAGCGCACGCAGGCGGUCUGACAAGUCAGAUGUGAAAUCCCCGGGCUUAACCUGGGAACUGCAUUUGAAACUGUCAGGCUGGAGUCUUGUAGAGGGGGGUGGAAUUCCAGGUGUAGCGGUGAAAUGCGUAGAGAUCUGGAGGAAUACCGGUGGCGAAGGCGGCCCCCUGGACAAAGACUGACGCUCAGGUGCGAAAGCGUGGGGAGCAAACAGGAUUAGAUACCCGUUAGUCCCUGUCUCUUAUACC